AGGUACUUGACGAAGUAUUUGGACGGUUAAUUGGCGGAUUGGCCGCUUUGUUCUUGGUUGAAGACGCAGCGGGAAUUCGAGGGGUUAAUCCUGCAGGUCAGGAAAAUCGUGGCUGAAGCUGAGGUAGCUUGUUGGCAGCAGAACGGGUAGGAAGAAAAUUUUGUUGGCUUUGCCAGUGUAUGACUUCCGCUAUGUAGUAAGCUCUGAGGAGCAUUUACGUUUUAUUUUGUGAUGACAAUUUAAUUCGUAAAUUUGUGUAAUAUAUAACUCUGUGGAGCGAGUGUAUAUUAACUUGGAUUGGUUCAGGGCAUCAGUAUAUACUUGUUUUAAGGGAAAGAUGUUCCAGGUAUUUGUAUUGAUGACUGAACGUUCACGCAUGUAUAAUUAUGGGAUUAUAUA